UACGUAGGGCGCAAGCGUUGUCCGGAAUUAUUGGGCGUAAAGAGCUCGUAGGCGGUUUGUCGCGUCUGCUGUGAAAACCUAAGGCUCAACCUUGGGCUUGCAGUGGGUACGGGCAGACUAGAGUGCGGUAGGGGUGACUGGAAUUCCUGGUGUAGCGGUGGAAUGCGCAGAUAUCAGGAGGAACACCGAUGGCGAAGGCGGGUCUCUGGGCAUUACCUGACGCUGAGGAGCGAAAGUGUGGGGAGCGAACAGG
rnacentral:rRNA from 1 species